UUUGCUCUUUAAAAAUCUGGAUCAAGCUGAAAAUUGAAACACAGAACAACGAAAGUUGUUCGUGAGUUUCUCAAAUUUUCGCAACACGAUGAUGAAUCGUAAGAAACAUCUUCGGGUUGUGAGGUUAAGCGACUAAGCGUACACGGUGGAUGCCCUGGCAGUCAGAGGCGAUGAAGGACGUGCUAAUCUGCGAUAAGCGCCGGUAAGGUGAUAUGAACCGUUAUAACCGGCGAUUUCCGAAUGGGGAAACCCAGUGUGAUUCGUCACACUAUCAUUAACUGAAUCCAUAGGUUAAUGAGGCGAACCGGGGGAACUGAAACAUCUAAGUACCCCGAGGAAAAGAAAUCAACCGAGAUUCCCCCAGUAGCGGCGAGCGAACGGGGAGGAGCCCAGAGCCUGAAUCAGCAUGUGUGUUAGUGGAAGCGUCUGGAAAGGCGCGCGAUACAGGGUGACAGCCCCGUACACAAAAGCGCAUGUGCUGUGAGCUCGAUGAGUAGGGCGGGACACGUGGUAUCCUGUCUGAAUAUGGGGGGACCAUCCUCCAAGGCUAAAUACUCCUGACUGACCGAUAGUGAACCAGUACCGUGAGGGAAAGGCGAAAAGAACCCCGGCGAGGGGAGUGAAAAAGAACCUGAAACCGUGUACGUACAAGCAGUGGGAGCACAGGUUUACCUGUGUGACUGCGUACCUUUUGUAUAAUGGGUCAGCGACUUAUAUUCUGUAGCAAGGUUAACCGUAUAGGGGAGCCGGAGGGAAACCGAGUCUUAACCGGGCGUUAAGUUGCAG
rnacentral:rRNA from 1 species